UUAGAGUUUGAUCAUGGCUCAGGAUGAACGCUGGCGGCGUGCUUAACACAUGCAAGUCGAACGAACCUUCGGGUUAGUGGCGGACGGGUGAGUAACGCGUGAGAAUCUGCCCUCAGGAGGGGGAUAACGGUUGGAAACGACCGCUAAUACCCCAUAUGCCGAUAGGUGAAAUGAAUUUCGCCUGAGGAUGAGCUCGCGUCUGAUUAGCUAGUUGGUGAGGUAAUGGCUCACCAAGGCUUCGAUCAGUAGCUGGUCUGAGAGGAUGAUCAGCCACACUGGGACUGAGACACGGCCCAGACUCCUACGGGAGGCAGCAGUGGGGAAUUUUCCGCAAUGGGCGAAAGCCUGACGGAGCAACGCCGCGUGAGGGACGAAGGCCUCUGGGCUGUAAACCUCUUUUCUCAAGGAAGAAGAUAUGACGGUACUUGAGGAAUAAGCCACGGCUAAUUCCGUGCCAGCAGCCGCGGUAAUACGGGAGUGGCAAGCGUUAUCCGGAAUUAUUGGGCGUAAAGCGUCCGCAGGCGGCUUAUCAAGUCUGCUGUUAAAGCGUGGAGCUUAACUCCAUCAUGGCAGUGGAAACUGAUAGGCUUGAGUAUGGUAGGGGCAGAGGGAAUUCCCGGUGUAGCGGUGAAAUGCGUAGAUAUCGGGAAGAACACCAGUGGCGAAGGCGCUCUGCUGGGCCAUUACUGACGCUCAUGGACGAAAGCCAGGGGAGCGAAAGGGAUUAGAUACCCCUGUAGUCCUGGCCGUAAACGAUGAACACUAGGUGUCGGGGGAAUCGACCCCUUCGGUGUCGUAGCUAACGCGUUAAGUGUUCCGCCUGGGGAGUACGCACGCAAGUGUGAAACUCAAAGGAAUUGACGGGGGCCCGCACAAGCGGUGGAGUAUGUGGUUUAAUUCGAUGCAACGCGAAGAACCUUACCAGGGUUUGACAUCCUGCGAACCUCUUAGAAAUUUGAGGGUGCCUUCGGGAAUGCAGUGACAGGUGGUGCAUGGCUGUCGUCAGCUCGUGUCGUGAGAUGUUGGGUUAAGUCCCGCAACGAGCGCAACCCACGUUUUUAGUUGCCAGCAUUUAGUUGGGCACUCUAGAAAGACCGCCGGUGAUAAACCGGAGGAAGGUGUGGAUGACGUCAAGUCAUCAUGCCCCUUACACCCUGGGCUACACACGUACUACAAUGCUACGGACAAAGGGCAGCAAACUCGCGAGAGCUAGCAAAUCCCAUAAACCGUGGCUCAGUUCAGAUCGUAGGCUGCAACUCGCCUACGUGAAGUAGGAAUCGCUAGUAAUCGCAGGUCAGCAUACUGCGGUGAAUACGUUCCCGGGCCUUUAGACACCGCC
rnacentral:rRNA from 1 species